rnacentral:tRNA from 1 species
GGGGCUGUAGCUCAGUGAUAGAGUGCUUGCCUAGCAUGCGUGAGGCACUGGGUUCAAUCCUCAGCACCA